AGUCCUCCUAUACGUGUACUUGGGUCGAGAAGAGCAUCGAGGCAUGACAACAUAAGGUGAUCCAAUCUGCCGCCCUGACGUUAAAAAGCCUGGGGAUCAGCAGCUUUGAACUGGAGCAUCAGCAGGAGCCCUGGAAGAUCGACCAGCGCCACACGCCCGCUGAUGUUGUAGUCUCGUAGCAUGAUGACGCUCUUCACCAACUCCAGCGUCGGCUUCUCGACCAGGAACUCUGCAAGAAAAAACGUUCACAUUGCCAGCACUUGAUCCCACAGCACAGCACAACGCAGCGAGACUCGGCCAUCCAGUGAGUGUACAUAUGUGGGAGGCAGCAAUGCACCUCACACUACUGGCUGGCCUCGACAUUCGCAACAGACACGUGGCAUCUACACCCCCGACCAAUAUAAAGGUUAGGGUGAGGCAAGGUGACGCUAGCCACCUGACGCGGGCGUGCUUGGACUCGACACACACCAAGGCCAGUACACCUUCACGCCCGCCCUGCGCCUCAAUGCUGAAUGCUCUUCUCCAUCGGUCCAACCUAACCUAAUUCAGUCUUUUCUGCCUCUACGCCUG
rnacentral:lncRNA from 1 species